rnacentral:rRNA from 1 species
UAUUUUGAUUAUAUCUUUGAAUAUAAUCUAUAGGAUUGUAUUAAAAUUGAAUAAAGCUUUGUUUAUAUAUUGAUAAUGACAGUAUAUAUAUCGUGUCUUGACUAAUUGCGUGCCAGCAGUCGCGGUAAUACGUAAGAGACUAGUGUUAUUCAUCUUAAUUAGGUUUAAAGGGUACCUAGACGGUCAAUAUAGCUUCUAGAAUGUUAGUACUUGACUAGAGUUUUAUGUAAGAGGGCAGUACUUGAGGAGGAGAGAUGAAAUUCUAUGAUACCAAAGGGACUCGGUAAAGGCGAAGGCAGCCCUCUAUGUAGAAACUGACGUUAAAGGACGAAGGCACAGAGCACAAACAGGAUUAGAUACCCAAGUAGUCUUUGCAGUAAAUGAUGAAUGCCAUAGGUUAGAUUAAGAUUUAAUAUUAUMAUYMUMAAUYAAAUAUUAAACAUGAUUUGGUCUAUAAAUGAMAGUGUAAGCAUUUCACCUCAAGAGUAAUGUGGCAACGCAGGAACUGAAAUCACUAGACCGUUUCUGACACCAGUAGUGAAGUAUGUUAUUUAAUUCGAUAAU